AUUGAACGCUGGCGGCAGGCCUAACACAUGCAAGUCGAACGAGUGGCGGACGGGUGAGUAAUGUCUGGGAAACUGCCUGAUGGAGGGGGAUAACCACUGGAAACGGUAGCCAAUUCCGCAUACCAUCAGAUGUGCCCAGAUGGGAUUAGCUAGUUGGUGGGGUAACGGCUCACCAAGGCGACGAUCCCUAGCUGGUCUGAGAGCAUGACCAGCCACACUGGAACUGAGACACGGUCCAGACUCCUACGGGAGGCAGAGGUGGGGAAUAUUGCACAAGGGGCGAAAGCCUGAUGCAGCCAUGCCGCGUGUGUGAAGAGGGCCUUCGGGUUGUAAAGUACUUUCAGCGGGGAGGCGUUACCCGCAGAAGAAGCACCGGCUAACUCCGUGCCAGCAGCCGCGGUAAUAC
rnacentral:rRNA from 1 species